CCCUUAGAUGUCCUGGGCCGCACGCGCGUUACACUGAUGCAUUCAACGAGCUUAUAACCUUGGCCGAGAGGCCUGGGCAAUCUUGUUAACGUGCAUCGUGAUAGGGAUAGAUUAUUGAAAUUAUUAAUCUUGAACGAGGAAUUCCUAGUAAACGCAGAUCAUCAAUCUGCAUUGAUUACGUCCCUGCCCUUUGUACACACCGCCCGUCGCACCUACCGAUUGGAUGGUCCGGUGAAGCCUCGGGAUUGUGGUUCUUGCCGCUUUAUUGUGGCGUGACCGCGAGAACUUGUCUAAACCUUAUCAUCUAGAGGAAGGUGAANUCGUAACA
rnacentral:rRNA from 1 species